AAAACCAGCUUUGCUUCAAGGAGAUGAAGCAGGCUGUUGGCCGGGUUUGGCCGGGGAAGAUACAGCAAAAGUGACUACCGGCCGGCGAUCCUAUUUCUUCUUCUUCGUCUUUAUCAACGUCUGAAGGGUAAGGGAGGUGACAGAAGAGAGUGAGCACACAUGGUCUUUCUUGCAUGCUGUGUUUCAUGCUUGAAGCUCUGCGUGCUUACUCUCUAUCUGUCACCCCACCACCUCUCUCUCUCUGUCUCUCUGUCUCUGUCUCUCUCUCUCUCUCUCUCUGUGAAUUUUGUGUCCAUGCCGGCCAGAUCCGUUAUGUUUGAUAUGCCUUGCCCUAAUUAUGUGGAUCUGUGGUUCUGUGACCCGAGCUCCCAGUUUAUAUAGCUCAUGUAGUUUUUUGUGCGUGUGUGUGUGAAGAAGUGCCACUUUUGUCGUUCAGAACCAAAAGGGGAAAAAAAUCAGUAACAGCAGAAUUCUUGGUCGUGUACUAUUUUUGUACUUUCAUCAAAACUGUUUAAGGUUUUGACUUGGUUGGCAUGUCAUAUAUAAUUGAGUUAUACCGUACCAUUUGAAGAACUUCUAUUCUUCUACAGUCCUGAUCUUUUUUCUUUCCUUUAAAAACAUGGACGUAAGGUGUCAAAUAUGACCUUUCAGGGUGAGUUUAUGGACAGAGGAAAAGAGAGAGAAAAAUAAAUAAAUAAAUACAGCAGAGAACUAUGCGCGAUGCCGUGGAUGGUUGGUUAUUAAUCUUGUUAUAUUAAUAUAUGUGAUUGCAAUAUUUUUGUUUUAAUUUAAUCUUUUGGUUAACUAAAAAUGGUUAUUAAUUAAUCUUUUGGUUAUAUAUUUAAAACUUGAAUGUGAACUUCUGAAUUCCUACAGGAGGAAGGUAUUAAUUAGACAUGACCUAAUGGUGAAAAUGUUGGAAACCAAAGGAGUUGAUCGACCUAUUAUAUAUCCUUCAAUUCUUUUCCCCCUCCCUUUCUAUGGCUGGACUAAUUAAGCCAUAAUCAGAUGUGUCUUCUUUUUUUCCCCCUUUUAUGUUCCUCUCUCAGUAAUCAAUGUGUGCUGAUAACAAGAAGCCAUGAAGAUGCAGAAUUAAUUCUUGGUGUUCUCCAACAUGCAUCCAACAGGCCGGAAAGGAGAAUUUUGGUGUUUUUUGAUACGCUGAUGAUUUCUGCUGGAGCUGGGAUCUGGAGCCUGAGAGACUGUUAGUCUUUUGAAGCAGUUUAAGGCUAGGUUGCUGGUUUUUUAGCUGUUUAUAAGAAGGUUCCUGUUCUGUUUGCUAUUGAGGAGUUUUGUAGCAGAAUUGAUGGAUUUUCCUUAAGUCUCAGGUUAAUUGUUGAUGUAUUUUUUUUUUCCUUUGCUGGUGUAUAGAGACUUCCUGUUGGUUGUAUUGAGGGGUAGUAUGAUGCUAUAGCUGCUGCUGAUGAUUUGAUAAUGUAGAUAAUUGAGUAGGGUUGUAGGGUGUGUGUGUGUAGCUUGAAGUCUGUGUUGUGAAUAUGGUUGUAUUAGGAUGCUGCUGCAUCUGAUGUUCUAGCUGAUGUGCUCGAGUGUGUUGGAUUUGUUAAUAGAAAUUCAUUCAUAAAGGAACUUCAUUUGUUCUCAAUUGCUUGUAAAAUCCAUGUUUAAUGGGCUUUUAGUGUU